GCAAAACGCGAAGAACCUUACCAGGUCUUGACAUCCCGCUGACCGUCCUAGAGAUAGGGCUUCCCUUCGGGGCAGCGGUGACAGGUGGUGCAUGGUUGUCGUCAGCUCGUGUCGUGAGAUGUUGGGUUAAGUCCCGCAACGAGCGCAACCCUUAUCUUUAGUUGCCAGCAUUCAGUUGGGCACUCUAGAGAGACUGCCGUCGACAAGACAGAGGAAGGCGGGGAUGACGUCAAAUCAUCAUGCCCCUUAUGACCUGGGCUACACACGUGCUACAAUGGCUGGUACAACGAGAUGCUAGCUCGCGAGAGUACGCCAAUCUCUCAAAACCAGUCUCAGUUCGGAUUGCAGGCUGCAACUCGCCUGCAUGAAGUCGGAAUCGCUAGUAAUCGCGGAUCAGCAUGCCGCGGUGAAUACGUUCCCGGGUCUUGUACACACCGAGGUCGGUGGGGGAGGGGCAA
rnacentral:rRNA from 1 species